rnacentral:rRNA from 1 species
AAACUGGAGAGUUUGAUCCUGGCUCAGAAUGAACGCUGGCGGCGUGCUUAACACAUGCAAGUCGCACGAGAACUCUUCUGCUUGCAGAAGAUAGUAAAGUGGCGCACGGGUGAGUAACCGGGUGAGUAACGCGUGGGUAAUCUGCCUUCAAAUUUGGGAUAACAUUGCGAAAGCGAUGCUAAUACCGGAUAAUAUUUUGAAAUCUUCGGUUUUCAAAAUCAAAGAUGGCCUCUACAUGUAAGCUAUCGUUUGGAGAGGAGCCCGCGUACCAUUAGCUUGUUGGUAGGGUAACGGCCUACCAAGGCUACGAUGGUUAGCUGGUCUGAGAGGAUGGUCAGCCACAUUGGAACUGAAACACGGUCCAGACUCCUACGGGAGGCAGCAGUGGGGAAUUUUGCGCAAUGGGGGAAACCCUGACGCAGCAACGCCGCGUGAGUGAAGAAGGCCUUCGGGUUGUAAAGCUCUGUCAAGUGGGAAGAAACUACUCGAUGUUAACACCAUCAGGUACUGACGGUACCACUGAAGGAAGCACCGGCUAACUCCGUGCCAGCAGCCGCGGUAAUACGGAGGGUGCAAGCGUUAUUCGGAUUUACUGGGCGUAAAGGGCGCGUAGGCGGUUUUUUAAGUCAGAUGUGAAAGUCCGAGGCUUAACCUCGGAAGUGCAUCUGAAACUGGAAGACUUGAGUACGGGAGAGGGAAGUGGAAUUCCUGGUGUAGAGGUGAAAUUCGUAGAUAUCAGGAGGAACACCGGUGGCGAAGGCGACUUCCUGGACCGAUACUGACGCUGAGGCGC